rnacentral:rRNA from 1 species
UACAGAGGGUGCAAGCGUUAAUCGGAUUUACUGGGCGUAAAGGGCGCGUAGGUGGUUAUUUAAGUUGGAUGUGAAAUCCCUGGGCUUAACCUAGGAACUGCAUACAAGACUGGAUAGCUAGAGUACUGUAGAGGGUAGUGGAAUUUCCGGUGUAGCGGUGAAAUGCGUAGAGAUCGGAAGGAACACCAGUGGCGAAGGCGGCUACCUGGACAGAUACUGACACUGAGGCGCGAGAGCGUGGGGAGCAAACAGG